CAGACACGCGCCCCAGGAACCAGCCAAUCAGCACAGGCCAUCAACUCCACUGGAUAUCUGGUUGGCUGGCAUAUUGCUGGGUGUAAUGAUGGAGUACCAACGAGUGAGCCUUGCAGACAAACAGUCGGUAAUAACGGACGUGUAAGCAGAUGCACCGCUGGCCAUGACGUGUUUUGUGGGGAGACGUCGCGAGCCAAAAUGGAAUGAUCCAAUCGUCAAUGAGCUUCCUGCUGGGAAGCAGGUGCAGCUCAACGACGUGCAUCAUGUCUGCCUGAAACGGAGGUAUCAGUGUGUCUUUCAGUGACCGAGUUAGCAAUCUGUCUGUCUGACACUGGGGUGGCAAUCUGUCAGUCUGACACUUAGGUAGCCGUCUGUCUGUCACUGAGGUAGCGAUCUGUCCGUCAGUCACUGAGGUAGCGAUCUGUCCGUCAGUCCCUGAGGUAGUGAUCUGUCCGUCAGAACCUGAGGUAGAGAUCUGUCUGCCUGACACUGAGGUAGAAAUCUGUCUGUCUAACAUUGUGGUAGCAAUGUGUCUGCUUGACACUGAGUUAGGAAUCUGUCUGUCUGCACUGAGGAAGCAAAGAAAUAGAGAAAAUGGAAAAUCAAGCAAAAUCCUAGACAAGCACAAACACCAAAUUCCCGGAGCAGAGCCGCCGGACUCACGCCAGGGGCAGCCGGGCCACAGGCAGCCCGGCCGCAGACCGGGGAGCCCGGCCGCAGGCAGCCCUCAGCCGGGGAGCCCGCAGCCGGGGAGCCCGCGUCCGGGGAGCCCGCAGUCGGGGAGCCCGCAGUCGGGGAGCCCGCAGCCGGGAGCCCGCAGCCGGGAGCCCGCAGUCGGGGAGCCCGCGGGGAGCCCGCAGUCGGGGAGCCCGCAGUCGGGGAGCCCGCAGCCGGGGAGCCCGCAGUCGGGGAGCUGCCGGGCCCAUGUCCCAUUAUGUUCAACAAAAUGGGACAAUGAUAUCCAUAUGUUCCACUCCAGUUUGAAGGAGAUCAUGUAGGCCACUGCCACCACAGAGCCCAUCCCUCCACCUCAGGCACCUCCUCUGCAUUGGUAGCCUUAAGCCCCCCAACCCCCAGGAAGAUUGACAGAUUAACCAUCCACUGAUAGUUUAAAACCGACCCCUUUGAAAAAGUUAUUAAUAAAAGGUGAUGGUUGAUGCCUUUUUGAAAGAUGGAAGAUUAGUUCCAUUGUAUCACUCUUUCUUGUUUGUAUGAUAUGUAUGUUUAACUUGGAUGGCUACUACCUCAAGUUCUAUGUUUAUUCUGGUUUGAUAUAUUAUGUUGAUCCUGUAUAAUGUUUGAUACAAAAUAAAGUGCAAUAUUGCAGUUUCUAACAGAUAGUGAGCGUGAAAAAUAUUCUUAUCUAAUCAUACCGUGUUUUUCAAUGUGCAUUCCUAAGACAUUCAAACUAUGCAGUAAAAUUCCAGAGGCAGAUAUUGUAUCAAAAGAAAAAAAUUAUAAUAAUAAAAAUAAAGAUCAAAACCCUGUCAACGACUACUAAUGACAUACUGUAACUGGGUCUUGAAGGGUUG
ensembl:lncRNA